UCAUAUUACUCUUGUUUCUUGUUAGCCAGUUGACACCCAAGUGUUUUUAAUGAACCUCUGCAAUUAACAGCCCAUUAGGAUGAAUAAGCAAAGUUGGCACAUCACUUAGUGACAUUUCAGCUUUCCUGAUGAGAAGAUUCACCAAGCCAGCCACUUCUGCCGUUCCUAUGCAUGAGUCUAAGACGGCCUGAAGCACUGAAGGUGGCUUUGGAGAAAGAAGUAGAUAGCCGUUUGCUUCGAUGAAAAGGCCACUUAAUCAACCUGAAUGGCUCUCUCUAAUCAGUACAUUACUCCAAGCAGGAUUCCAGCAUGCCUGCCUUCCGUUACCAUCAGUGGGAUAACACACAAUUACCUGCUUCCAUUCAGAAGCAAUAUUUCAGGCUUCUGGGAUGGGAAAAAUGCAGAGGGAGGCAACUUGCACAGGCUCAAUGACAGCAGGAAAAAACAAAAUGCACAGUGAACGUGUGGAUGAAGUGAAGUGGCUAUAGGAAACAGGAGGAGAGAAAUAAAACACACAACUGAUAUCUUAAGAUCAGGUUGUAGCAAAAGUUCCACAGCAUGGAGUAAUUUCCUUUUCUCCAGUGGCAUUGUUUCGUAAAGCUUUCCAGUAGCAGUGUCAAAAAGAAAAACAGAAAGUAAAACAACAGAGAAAAAACACUCCAGCUAUAAUCUCAGGGAAGUGUUGCCAAGAUUUGGAAAAAGUGGAAUGAGAAAGGAAGAGGGAGCCAAUAGGGUACAUUAAAAAAACCUCCACUCAA